rnacentral:rRNA from 1 species
AGAGUUUGAUCCUGGCUCAGGACGAACGCUGGCGGCAUGCCUAAUACAUACAAGUCGAACGCACGAAGUUGAAAAGCUUGCUUUUCGACCAAGUGAGUGGCGGACGGGUGAGUAACACGUGGGUAACCUGCCCAUAAGAGGGGGAUAACAUUCGGAAACGGAUGCUAAUACCGCAUAUUUCAAGUGACCGCAUGGUCGCUUGAUGAAAGGUGGCUUCGGCUACCACUUAUGGAUGGACCCGCGGUGCAUUAGUUAGUUGGUGAGGUAAUGGCUCACCAAGACCAUGAUGCAUAGCCGACCUGAGAGGGUGAUCGGCCACACUGGGACUGAGACACGGCCCAGACUCCUACGGGAGGCAGCAGUAGGGAAUCUUCCGCAAUGGACGAAAGUCUGACGGAGCAAUGCCGCGUGAGUGAAGAAGGUUUUCGGAUCGUAAAACUCUGUUGUUAGAGAAGAACAAGGAUGAGAGUAACUGCUCAUCCCCUGACGGUAUCUAACCAGAAAGCCACGGCUAACUACGUGCCAGCAGCCGCGGUAAUACGUAGGUGGCAAGCGUUGUCCGGAUUUAUUGGGCGUAAAGCGAGCGCAGGCGGUUCUUUAAGUCUGAUGUGAAAGCCCCCGGCUCAACCGGGGAGGGUCAUUGGAAACUGGAGAACUUGAGUGCAGAAGAGGAGAGUGGAAUUCCAUGUGUAGCGGUGAAAUGCGUAGAUAUAUGGAGGAACACCAGUGGCGAAGGCGACUCUCUGGUC